GACGUAGGGCGCGAGCGUUGUCCGGAAUUAUUGGGCGUAAAGAGCUUGUAGGCGGUCUGUCGCGUCUGCUGUGAAAAUCCGGGGCUCAACCCCGGACUUGCAGUGGGUACGGGCAGACUAGAGUGUGGUAGGGGAGACUGGAAUUCCUGGUGUAGCGGUGGAAUGCGCAGAUAUCAGGAGGAACACCGGUGGCGAAGGCGGGAUCCUGGGCCAGUACUGACGCUGAGGAACGAAAGCGUGGGGAGCAAACAGG
rnacentral:rRNA from 1 species